CGGUGAAAAACAAGUUCCCGUACGAUCACCGUAGUUAAGCAGCUUUGGGCCUGUCAGUAUCUAGAUGGGUGACCGUUUGAGAAUACCAGGUGC